rnacentral:rRNA from 1 species
GGAAUAUUGCACAAUGGGGGAAACCCUGAUGCAGCAACGCCGCGUGAGUGAAGAAGUCAUUCGUGAUGUAAAGCUCUAUCAGCAGGGAAGAAAAUGACGGUACCUGAGUAAGAAGCCCCGGCUAACUACGUGCCAGCAGCCGCGGUAAUACGUAGGGGGCAAGCUUUAUCCGGAUUUACUGGGUGUAAAGGGGGCGCAGGCGGCGAUGCAAGCCAGGAGUGAAAGCCCGGGGCCCACCCCCGGGACUGCUCUUGGAACUGCGUGGCUGGAGUGCAGGAGGGGCAGGCGGAAUUCCUGGUGUAGCGGUGAAAUGCGUAGAUAUCAGGAGGAACACCGGUGGCGAAGGCGGCCUGCUGGACUGCAACUGACGUUGAGGCCCGAAAGUGUGGGGAGCAAAC